rnacentral:sRNA from 1 species
UUUUUGCGUGAGGGAUUGCAGUGUAAAUCCCGCAGCCUGACUAUAAGGAGGUGCGAGGAAUUGAAACGUAAAGCCCGACCCUUG